UACAAUUUAGCGCUCUAUUCUAGUUAAAUUUUACACUAGCAUGAGCGUUUGUUGUAGAU
rnacentral:pre_miRNA from 1 species